UAAUUAUCGGAAGCCCAUCACGUGGAGGAACUGUUUCGUAGGAGCGCGCCUCCCUUUCCCAGCCACUGGUUCUCCUGACCCCGAAUGUGGGGAGUGACUUCAGUCUCCUGACAUCCAGUGUUCUCUCGAGCCAGCUUCCAGCCCACCGAAAAUGAGCUUUUCCGGAGAUGGGCAUCUUAUUCCAGUCCCCUCCCUGUGAAUGUGUGGAGAAAAAGAGAUGGGAACGAGUCAGAGGAAAUAGAGAAAUUUUGAAAGAGAAAUGAAGAAUGAGAGAACCAUUGAUAGACGGCAAAGUAGAAGGAUUCACUUCCAAAGAGACAUAUUAUGCAAGGAAGCAACUCGGAAAACGAAAGAGAAGGAGUCAGGAAUGGCCCUUACUCAGGGACCCUUGAAAUUCAUGGACGUGGCUAUAGAAUUCUCUCAGGAGGAGUGGAAAUGCCUGGAGCCUGCUCAGAGGACUCUGUACAGGGACGUGAUGUUGGAGAACUAUAGGAACCUGGUCUCCCUGGGAAUCUGUCUGCCUGACCUGAGUGUUAUCUCCACGUUAGAACAAAAGAAAGAUCCCUGGAUUCUGCAGAGUGAAGAGAAAAUAGCAAACAAUCCGGAUGGCAGGGAAUGCAUCAAAGGUGUGAACACAGGCUG